GCGGCCCCGCCGGCGGACGCCGCUGUCCCGCCGGACCGGACCGGGCCACGGCGCAGGAUUUCAGGAUCUCAGACAGGCUGACGGCUCCAGGAUAAGCCCGACCUGUCCCCCGCACUCCCUGGCCGGCCGGAGGAGUUUGUCCGCAGGGAAAGAAAAAGGCGCACACGGCGCCGGGAGCUAUCGCUCAGCACCUCAGCCUCGAUCCGGCCCUCAGCGUUUGUCCAUCUCACCCACUCUGGCAGGUCCCACUACAAAUCCCAAAAACGAAGGGGGAGCCAUUGCUUCAGGUCCCCAGAAAUCUUACACCAAACAGCCUGCCACGCUCCAGAUCUGUCCUGGAAAACAGCUGUGGGCUUGUGCACUUCUCAGUUUUAUUCUGAGAUAUCAGAAGGGUUUUGAAGGGUUUUUUUUUUUUCCAUUCAGAAGUAGACAUUUUUUCAUUUUAAGUGUAUCAGUAAAUAUUAACUACUCACACACAGUCUAUGAGUUAGUCUACUCACCAAAGUUAUGUCAUUAAAAUCAAGAGAAUAACAGCAAAGGGACUGAGUAUACAAGGGCAAACCCAGAUAGGGCAUGAAAACAGUGCUGCAUGUUCUUUUUGUUAGUAGUGGCUAUUGUGGCUAAUAAGUGUUAUUUGUGACAGGUUUUUUUUGCAAAACAAACCUCAAAUUAGAGUGCAAGAAUAUACAAUAUGCAAGGGAAUAUGCAUAUUGUGUAUUCACAAUAUGAGCACAAACCCCAGGAAUUGUGACAUCCUUGAAAUAGCUAAAUUAAUUAAAAAUUGGGUCUUCAUUUAUUUUAUGAAGGAAACUCAGAGGCUAUAAGAAAUGUCUUGAAGCUCAACUUUUUCCAUAAGCCUUCUAAUAACCAACUUUGCCCUGAAGACCUGACUUGUUGUUUGCUGUCAUAAGCACCUGAAUUUUAGCCUUUGUGUUGUACAUGGGUCCAGAUGUUGUACAAGUGUCCUGGAGCAGCUGUCUUGUUGUUCAUGUGUUUGCAAAGUGAUAGGCACGCUCACAGUGCAUUAUAAUUAAAAAAAUUGAGAGGAUGUGCUAGUCCUUCAGAGUGCAAUACAGUCACACACCUGAUCCCAUAUGCUGGCAGAAUGGACUGAUGCUCACACGCUUUCUGUGGAGAAAAAAGGAUAUCCCAGUUUUUUAUUCAUAGAUAAUUUUUCAAAUAUAUGUAAUAUAUAUGUUUUCAAAUAUAUGUAAUACACACAUACAGCCUUCAAUGCAUAAUAAGCUCCUGUGAUUUUGAUAACAUUUUGUAUUAAGCUCAUGUAUUCAAAUAUUAGUCAUUUAUUUGACUGUGACAAUAUCUGGAGAUAUGUUGGAGUAAUUACCUGGCUAAUGCAUGUGUGGAGCAGUGCUUUCUUGUUUGGAAUGAAUUGGGAGCCACAGAGGGAAUAAAUCAAGGCUCAGAGUUAAAAGUGGCAUGGACAUGGAGCACUGGACUCCUAUCCCCAUUAGCAUGCUGAAUUUCUGACUGGUAACUACGUUUCAGCUCUGGACCCUGAGGACAUCCCCAGUGAUGGGGGGAUCAUUUAAUCAAUUUUACUAAGCCCUUUAAACAGCCCUGUAGUUUUUAAUUACAACUUCAUGCCUGCUGAAGAACAGCAAAAUUGUGGCUGUGACUAGAUAGCAAAUAAGGCAUGACAGAUGUUAAAAGGUGUAGUGUGUGAUACCUAAUAGCUAGUGAAAUGUAAUAUUUAACAGUAACUAAACCCAUCAGAAACUUAACAAAUUCUGGUCAAAACUAGACAAAUUGUAAUUUAGUGUAUGUUGUUCAUUAGAGAAAAGAGCCUGUGAAUUGAUUCAAGGGGGUGUGUAAAUUGAUUUAAUUAAUCUAAGGUAAAGCACAAUCUGUUUUGAGAAGAGCUUUCAGAAGCAUGAGGUGACAGUGAGCUAACUUUCUUAAAACACCCUGCUAAAUUAUAGUGUAGAAAAAGACUCUAUUUCUCUGCUCAGAAAGAGCUUUCUUGCUGUCCCUGCCUUGCUUUCUUGCUUCUCAUUUUACCUUGCCUCACUUCAGAGAGAUUUCUUCUAAACUUUCUCUUAUAAGUUAGCAAACUUCCUUUAAACAGACUUGGUUUGUCACAGCCACAGUCAGUUUGCUGUGUUCUUUGCCCUGGGUCACCCGAUGAAAAGGGAAUACUGACCAGAGGCUCCUUAGCAAUUCUAAUUAUUUCUGAAUAGGACUUCUGCCAGGUAACAUCAGAUGAAAGUACAGUUGAUGAAUGUCCAUCAACAGCAUUGCCCUGCUGCAAGAGUUCUGAAGUCUAAACAAGAUGUUAGAGUUGUACACUUCACAUCAUCCAUCAUAAUUUUUCUCUUUUUAUUCCCCUUUCACCUUUCAGAAAUUCAACAGUCAUUUAGCUUUAGGCAACCCCUUGUGCUCCUAAGUCUUUUCUGUAAAACACUGAAAUUCUCACUCAUCUUCAUCUGAUGAUCUUGUUAAUGAGGUACUUCUGCCACAUCAUUCUGACCCAAGAUUUUAAAACAUGAUUUUUUUUGGUGCCCAAACCACAUGCACAGGAGAAGUUUUGAGGAACAGUUUAAGAAACAUCUGAAAAUCGUUGACCCCAAGUCAGGCACCACGUGUCUCUGGCAGUGAAGAGUAGCACAGCCGUGUCUGAAUAUUUUUGGCUGUGAUUUGCUCAGCUGAGUGGGCCUAAACUGUGAUGGUGAGAUAAAAACCAUUCAAAGUUUGUCGUCAAACUCAAGUAUGACAGAAACAGGACCACACCAUCUGCCUAAAAUUUCAGUAUCUGGACUCUUAUAUUGCCUUGCAUAUUCCUGGGAAAGAAUACAUGGAAAUGGGUGUGUAUUUCAAAGGUAACUGAUGAGAAGUAUGUUGAGAUUGGGAGAAGGUGUGGGAGGAACAUGUGUGGGACUAUACAGAUUUGAUACUGAUGGGGAAGGAGAAGUGGAAGGGGCUUUCCACUGCAGUGCCUCUGCCGGUACAGAGGGCUGUAGGUGGAGGGAAGAAGAAAAGGGAAGGGCUGUAGGUGGUUCACACACACUCUCAGCACACACCCUAGGCCAGGAGCUGCACUUGUUUGCCAAUGAAAAACAAGAAAGCUUUGUGGGCACCACAGUGAAGGAGGUAGGUGGAAAUUCAGGUGUGGAAGCAGUGAAUAGAAAAUUCCCUUCCAAUUCCCUUUCCUUUGGCAGAGUGAGCCAUAUAGCUGAAAAAAGAGCCUGAGGAAUAAUGGGUGCCAGAUCUGGAAUGAGAGGAGGAGGGUCUGGGGUUUCUCUGGAUUCUCUUUUUUUCUCUAGGAAGUGGCAUUUCCUAAGAAAGCUGCUGAGAGUCAUGCAAAUACAUGAAAGGCACAGGGAGAAAAUGCUGGGUGCACAGGUGUUCAGUUUAUUUGUUUUUUUAAUUAAAUUUUUAACCCAUGUAGGCAUAUGCUGAGAAAAGGGAAGAAACAGACUUUUGGUGUAAGUCCCAUGCUCUGAUCCAUGGAAACAGAUUCUUAUGCUAGAGUGGAUCCAGGCUUACUACCACAAAGUGACCCAAGGUAUGGUAGAUGUCAAAGUGUAAGGGCUAAUGUUCAGAAGGAGUGUUCUGGUGUCUGGGAAUGACUUCAGAGACCUAUUAGGCAAGGAAAAUAUAGAUAAACAUGUUUAAAAUACAUGUAAUAUGUACUAAGGCAAUGAAAUUCAGGUUUUACUAGUGUAAUAGGCUAAUUACAUAAUUAAUAUUCUUUGUGUAUACUGUUGCUGAAAUAUACUUUGAGUAUUGCUAAUAUUACACAUCUACAUUUCCUAAUUGUCAAAAAUAUUUUGCAUUAUAAUCCAUAAUACUACAGAAAGUGCAUGUAGGGAUUUGUAGGAGACUGAAAAAAAAGCACAAGAUGUCUGCAAGGUGUGUUUUAUCAUUACUGUAGCAUUAUCUGGUGUUUUCUCUGAUUUUUUUUUCAGUUAUUUAUUUAUUUUUUAAAAUAAAUUAAAAUGCUCUUCAAGAA